UUGGCGUCGUCCUCACGAUUGUGUCGACAAUUGGAAGCAUCGUAAAUCUCAAACACGGGCUUCGAAGAGGAAAACCUCAAAGUAUUCUACUUCCGCGAUUGCAGCAGUGCAAUUCGACCUCAACAAACGCAAGCUGUCCCGUGCGGCAUUGAAUUCCCCUUCGCUCCCAGAUUCAGCUAGCCAUGGGUACAGCGCUCUACAAUGACAAAGUCUCCGCUACGAGAACAGUUUCAACUUGGGCGAUCCGGCGGGGAUCCGAACGGGGCGAUCCGUUCUACAGGGCGCUGGAGAAAAUGCGGCUGCUCAAGUCGACUGUGCUGGAGGUCUUCCGCUGUGAUGCGCCCGUGCUCUACCAGUACGGAUGCGCCCGGGAGGAUAUGGCGGCGAUGCGAAGUUUGUGAUCAACAAGGGACAGCUCUUGGGUGGAUCGCAGGCGCUGGUUUGCCAAGAUCCAAAGGUGUUUGAGGAGCCGGAUCAGUUGAUCCCUGACAGGUUUGUAGGGAAGGAGGAGCUCGAGGCGUGUGUUUUGGGCCAUGGAAAGUCGCCCACCGCGGAUGACAAGCAGUGUGCUGGAUUUCGUGGAGACAAUCGCCAAAGUCUACCUGGUACAGUUGUUUGUGAGAUACAAGACUUUUGUGAGUGAGGACUCCACUCUCAUACACUCCGUUUCCAUGAAUUAGUAAAACAUAUUUGCUUUA